CAUAUAUAUUACAAGUUAAAUUCUUUGGAAAUUUUUGAUACAAUCACACUACGCCUCCAAAUUAUAAAUAUGAAUUCUACAUAUGCAAUACAUAAGAUUUAUUUACUGUCAUGCAGUCUAAGAGAAGACAGUCCUUCACAUAAAAAAAGCACCAAGGAAUUCAGAGAACUGAGUUCUGAAUUCAUCAAGCGUAAUAAUAUUGCCUUGGCACUUUGAUUACAACUAUUAGCAGAACAUUUUGAAUGAGGAAUCAAAAGAGUAUAUACAUUAUUGUGUUUGUAAACAUUUUAUUUGAAAAGGCUGUCCCAACCUUGUUCGAUCUGACCAAGGAACUGAAAACUCUGUGGUGGCUGUUAUUCAGAUUGCUUUCCGUUCACGCGCAACGGACAGUCUGAGCGGUGACAAGAGCUUCAGGUAUGGGAAGUCAGUACACAACCAGCGUGCUGAAGCUUUCAACAGUGUGCUGAAAAGAUCAUGGAUUUUUCACUGGCAAAGCUACUUUGAGUCCAUGCAGGUUACUGAUUUGUUGGACAUAUCUAAUCCUAUACACAUACACUUGGUCCAAUACUGCUACCUCACACUUGUUGAGAAGCAGCUUCAAACAGAACAGAACGAAUGGAAUGACCACAUGAUCCGGAAGCAAGUUGGAGCAGCUGGGCCUUUUGGAAAACCAAACAUCAUGUAUUUCACACCUACCACUGGAACACCGAAUCUGCUUUGUCCAGUGGACAGAGACCUGACACACUAUGCCGCAACACUGGUGUGUGAAGAUGGAGCAGCACUGCUGGUUGCUAAUGAAGCUUUCCGAACACUCUGCCACAGAGUUCUUGCUCGUUCUGCUCUCCACAUUGACCACAUGUGUGUAGAGCGGUCGAUGGCUGCAUAUGUGUGCCUGAAGAACUUUUUCUUAGAAAAGUUGAUUGAUCUUUCAGUUGAUCAGCCUCAAAAUUUUGAAGAGGCUUGCCUUUUUUAUAUUACCAUUUAGGAUCCUUACAAUGAAUUAAUAUUAAGGACCUAGUAAGGUGUAGGCCAAACCAUUGUUAUCAGAACCUGACCUACUGUGUUUUUGGGUCAUUUACCUGUUUUUUCACAUCUUUUGCCAGCCUUUACCUGCGCAGUAGCCAGCCUCUAUUCUUUGGAUUUAGACCUAUAGCCUGCCAGACUAUUUUGCCUGGCUGCUGUUUUUGUCUUAUUGCCUCAAAUAAAACCCUUUUAUGCUCUACGCAUGCAUCUAUACCUGCCUGUGGGUCGUAUUCCUUACACCUACACUCCUCGUUCAAUUUUGAAUUGUUUACA
ensembl:lncRNA